GCCCGCGGCCUGAAAACGGGCCCGGGUCCCUCGGUCGACGUCCGGGCAGAGAUCCCCCGCCCCCCGGUCCCGAAGGGCCGGGGCAACUCCGCUCCCGAAGGCCCGGUCGGCCGCGGCGGCGGGGGACGGACACAGACACGCGAGAUGGAGAACGAGCGUGUCCUCGCCCACCCGCCUGUGCCACCGUGUCAAGUCCGGAGGGAGACCGGACGUGUCGGGGCCCCGGGUGCCCCUCGCCGCGAGCAGGGAACGUGUCUCGCCGUCCCAACCGCUCGGUACGGUGCCCUGCACGGAGGAAGCGCUCAAAUCCGCCCUGCCCUGCCCGCCUCGGGAGUCGCCCAGACGUGGGGCUGUGGGUGAGCCGCCCCUCCCGGGCAGCCCGCACGAAGUCUUCUGGCCCGCCGCUUAACGGAUACCAACAUCGUCGUCGUCGUACCAUUCGCUGUCAGAAAAGGCGAUCGGCGUCCUGGGCGGCUUUACGAGCGCGGGCGGCUGGAAGUCCACGGUCCGUGGCGUCGUGCCAGGCAACCUCACCGGGCGUGAGAUUCGACGGGUCGCGGGGAGGGUGGAACGAGGGCCUCCCGGAGGUCGGUCCCGUCGCGGGACGGUCUCGGCCGGAGCCGACGUCAAACCUGAUCCUGGGCGUUCCACGCUCCGCCCUCCCCGAGCCGCCGGCGGCCGGCGGUGCCCGCGGGAGGGAGCGGGCCGGCGGCCGCCUUGGGUUCUGGGCCGGAAGAGAGGGGCACGGGGAAGAGCGUGCCCCCGGGGUGCCCGCUCGCAAGUAACAAUAAUAACGUUGGUGUUCGUUAAGCACUCACUAUGUGCAGGGCACCGUUCUAAGCGCUGGGGGAGAUGCGGGGUCAUCCGGUCGUCCCACGGGAGGCUCGCGGUUAAUCCCCCUUUUACAGAUGAGGGAACUGAGACGCAGAGAAGUGACUCGCCCACGGUCGCCCGGCUGACAAGUGCGGAGCCGGGAUUCGAACUCACGACCCCUGGCUCCCAAGCCCGGGCUCUUGCCACCGAGCCGCGCUGCUCCUCUACCUAAAAGUGCCUUACUGCCGGUUCGCAGUGGGGCACCGAAUGAGAGGGUUUGGCGUCUGGACUUGGUUUCCGCCCCGCCCUUCGAGGGCGAGCUCCGCUUCGGCCGGUUCGUCGUAUUUAUCGAGCGCUUACUGUGCGCGGAGCGCCGUACUGAGUUGGCCGACGCGCGGCGGUGACGUCCUCGCCGGUCUUUGCCUUCUCCCCCGCCUCCGGGCCAGAGUCGAACGACCCACGUCGUCAAUCCGUGACCGAAUCCCGCCCGUCGGACCUCCGCAACGGGACUAAAAUCUGCGCUCCCAUCCCAACGGCUACGAUCCAAAGCAGUCGCCCUGUCUCUGCCCGACUACCGCGUCGGCCUCCUCGUCGCCCUCCCGUCCCCCCCGCCCCCCGCCCCGGUCCAUACGUCUCUCCGCUGCCCGAAUGGUUUUUCUAAAAUAAAACAUUCAGCGGCCCCCCCGGCCUCCCCACGCCUCGGAAACCUCCGGCGGUUGCCCGUCCACCCCCCCCCCGCCCCGGGCAAACAGAAAUCCCUCGUAGAGCGCUCGGUCGCCUGGCCUUCUCCGGCCUCCGUUCCCGGAUCUCCUACUACGUCCCGGCACGUCGGCCGGGUUCCGACACCAAACCGCUCACCGUGUAUCUCCGUCUCCUCGCUGCCGGCCCCCAGUCCCGCCUCCGGCCUGGAAUCCCCUCCCGCUUCCUGACGACUCUCCACGCCUUCCCGAAUCCCAUCUCCUCCCAGAGGCCUUCCCCGACGGAGCCGUCAUCUCCCCUUCCCCACCCUCGGCCCCGGAGCACGUAGGUACGUCACCGGCGCUCCGCUCUACCGUCCCUCUGCCCCUCGGGACCGUGCGAUUCUUGUGGGACGUGAACGCGUCGACCGAGUCUGGUUCCCCGCGCUGCCCCGAGUGCCCGCUUCAACGCUUCGCGCCCGGUAAGCGUUCGAGCCAAUCUCGCAAGGGCCCGCGCCCGGGGGUCGGAGGCCGUGGGUUCCGAUCCCGGCCCCGCCACUCGUCCGCCGCGGGGCCUCGGGCAGGCCGCCUCGCCUCUCCGUGCCUCGGUUCCCUCGUCCGGGAAACGGGGACGGCGGCCGCGAGCCCCGCGUGGGACAACCCGACGACCUCGGAUCCGCCUCGGCACGUAGCGAGCGCUUAACGGGGAUCGUCGUCGUCAUUGGCCGCCCCGGGGCCCGGCCCGCGGUAGGCGCUUGAAUACCGCAAUUGACGGGGAGUAAACCCGGACACUGAGCCCCUCACCCCCGUCCCAUCUCAGCUGCCCUUAUUUCGCCGUUUCCUGUGACCUUUCCUCGGCCGGGGGCGGGGGGCCGGGGGCUCCCGGGAGGGUGGGCGGUCGUGCCUCUGCCCAGCGCGCCGUGCGUUCGGUCAUUCACUCGGUCGUAUCUAUCGGGCGCCGACUGCGUGCGCGGGACCGCGCUGAACGCUCGGGGAGUACGACGCUGGGC
rnacentral:lncRNA from 1 species